AGAUUGCCUGAUCGCAUCCAUUAAUUACGAUUUCGUCUGCUCACUUCUCCGCUCUCUCCUCGAAUCCCUAUCAGCUCAGCUACCUCCGUCGGUGGAUCUGGAUCUCUGAUCGAAGCCACGAAUGCAGGCAUGCUUAGAUCCCCCAUUUUCGUCAUCGAAAUCGACGUAUCUGUGAGAGAAAUCGAUCAGAGAUGGAUUUUGCUUCCGGAUCCGAAAAUAAGAUGAUAUCUUUCUUCUGAUUCCUUGUUUUCUGCUGCCUGCUGCUUGUUGCUUGGCCUUUCUCCGAUCUGAACUGGUUUUAUCUACCUGGAAGCUUCCCCCUCAUGAGUAUCUGGUCGGAGUCAAAGAGGUCCUGCCGACGAAGGUCAACUCGCUUACCUCCAUCGAGACCGAGCUUCCUUUCAACAACUAUAGUCUUCCAUUUUGCCACCCUCACGAUGGAACGCCAAGAAUCUUGGGAGCUCCUCAUGGGAAACGGAUCUCAAACAGGGCUGGGCUACAACCCAAGAGAGCCCCACUGUAGAUCCGUCUCUGGAUUAAACACACUACUUUAAUUUACCAAAGGGCAUAUUCACUUACGUGUUCUUCAUAUUUUACUCUUCCCAACAAAUCUAGUAAAUUUUUUUUUCUUUUCUAUGUCAUUUUUUCUGUCAUUUUUUCCUCUCUUCUUUGUCCUCUCUUCUAUAUAUGUUAUUGAUGUUGUUAGCAUUAACAAUCUAACCUAGAUUUUUUAUGAAUGUCAAAAUAGAUUAAGUUAAUUUAAUUGUGAUUUAAUACUUUAACUAAGUAUGCAGGAGAACCUCAGACUGAUCGACGAGCUGACCAGAUGCUUGACACGAAGUUCAGCUAGGUCAACGAGUCAACCUGAUAGCUGGUACGAAACCCAGACUGGUCGACGAGCUAACCGGAUGUCUGGCACGAAAUCCAGCUAGGUCGACGGGCUGACCUGAUAGCUGUCACGAAGUCCAGACGGGUCGACGGGCUGACCGGACGUCUGGCAAGAGAAGGACUUUCUGGAGAAAGGUGGUUCGGGCGCCCGGAACUGGUCCGGACGCUUGAAAGGAAAAUUCUAUCCCCGACAGCUUGGAGCGCGUUGAUUGAUCUGACGACGUCACGGUCAGGCGCCCGGAAGGAAUCGGGGAGCCUGGAGCCUCCUAUAUAAGGAGGGUGAGUCAUGAAGCAAAGAACAACAACGACAUCUACUCUACUGCGCCGUGCUCCUGCGACGUUGCGAAGCUUCUCCGACAACGUGCUGAUUUUUCUUUCCUUUAUUGUCGUCGGUAUUUCCUUUUUUAAAAGUUCUUGUACUUUCAUUUGUAAUAUUUUUACGAACUA